rnacentral:rRNA from 1 species
CGCUGGCGGCGUGCCUAACACAUGCAAGUCGAACGGAACUUCUUUAAAAGGGAUUUCUUCGGAAUGAAUUUGAUUAAGUUUAGUGGCGGACGGGUGAGUAACGCGUGAGUAACCUGCCUCUAAGAGGAGAAUAACAUUCUGAAAAGAAUGCUAAUACCGCAUAAUAUAUAUUUAUCGCAUGGUAGAUAUAUCAAAGAUUUAUCGCUUAGAGAUGGACUCGCGUCCGAUUAGUUAGUUGGUGAGGUAACGGCUCACCAAGACCGCGAUCGGUAGCCGGACUGAGAGGUUGAACGGCCACAUUGGGACUGAGACACGGCCCAGACUCCUACGGGAGGCAGCAGUGGGGAAUAUUGCACAAUGGGGGAAACCCUGAUGCAGCGACGCCGCGUGAGCGAAGAAGUAUUUCGGUAUGUAAAACUCUAUCAGCAGGGAAGAUAAUGACGGUACCUGACUAAGAAGCACCGGCUAAAUACGUG